rnacentral:rRNA from 1 species
UACACUCCUGCGGGAGGCAGCAGUGGGGAAUAUUGCCCAAUGGGCGCAAGCCUGAUGCAGCCAUGCCGCGUGUAUGAAGAAGGCCUUCGGGUUGUAAAGUACUUUCAGCGGGGAGGAAGGCGAUAAGGUUAAUAACCUUGUCGAUUGACGUUACCCGCAGAAGAAGCACCGGCUAACUCCGUGCCAGCAGCAGCGGUAAUACGGAGGGUGCAAGCGUUAAUCGGAAUUACUGGGCGUAAAGCGCACGCAGGCGGUCUGUCAAGUCGGAUGUGAAAUCCCCGGGCUCAACCUGGGAACUGCAUUCGAAACUGGCAGGCUAGAGUCUUGUAGAGGGGGGUAGAAUUCCAGGUGUAGCGGUGAAAUGCGUAGAGAUCUGGAGGAAUACCGGUGGCGAAGGCGGCCCCCUGGACAAAGACUGACGCUCAGGUGCGAAAGCGUGGGGAGCAAACAGGAUUAGAAACCCUAGUAGUCCCA